UUUUAACACCCAUGAGACGCAAGUAACCUGACUGGUGGGAUGGCCUUGUGCCUGCACCAUCGACCGACCAUGAUCUUCUGUGAAAGGUUUGAGUACGAGCAUACACGUCGGGACCCGAAAGAUGGUGAACUAUGCCUGAGCAGGGCGAAGCCAGAGGAAACUCUGGUGGAGGCUCGUAGAUGUGCUGACGUGCAAAUCGCUUUUCGGACUUGGGUAUAGGGGCGAAAGACUAAUCGAACCAUCUAGUAGCUGGUUCCCUCCGAAGUUUCCCCCAGGAUAGCUGGAGCUUGAUCAGUUUUAUCAGGUAAAGCGAAUGAUUAGAGGUACCGGGGAUGAAACAUCCUCGACCUAUUCUCAAACUUUAAAUAGGUAAGACGUUUGGGUUGCUUAAUUGAACCCAGGCAUUCAAUGGGAGCUCCAAGUGGGCCAUUUUUGGUAAGCAGAACUGGCGAUGCGGGAUGAACCGAAAGCUGAGUUAAGGCA
rnacentral:rRNA from 1 species